rnacentral:rRNA from 1 species
GAUGAACGCUAGCUGCAGGCUUAACACAUGCAAGUCGAGGGGCAGCAUGUCGGUUGCUUGCAACCGACGACGGCGACCGGCGCACGGGUGAGUAACGCGUAUCCAACCUACCCUUGUCCAUCGGAUAACCCGUCGAAAGGCGGCCUAACACGAUAUGCGGUUCUCAGCAGGCAUCUAACGAGAACGAAAUGUGAAGGAGAAGGAUGGGGAUGCGUCUGAUUAGCUUGUUGGCGGGGUAACGGCCCACCAAGGCGACGAUCAGUAGGGGUUCUGAGAGGAAGGUCCCCUACAUUGGAACUGAGACACGGUCCAAACUCCUACGGGAGGCAGCAGUGAGGAAUAUUGGUCAAUGGACGGGAGUCUGAACCAGCCAAGUAGCGUGCAGGAUGACGGCCCUAUGGGUUGUAAACUGCUUUUAUAGGGGGAUAAAGUGUGCCACGUGUGGCAUAUUGCAGGUACCCUAUGAAUAAGGACCGGCUAAUUCCGUGCCAGCAGCCGCGGUAAUACGGAAGGUCCGGGCGUUAUCCGGAUUUAUUGGGUUUAAAGGGAGCGUAGGCCGUCUUAUAAGCGUGUUGUGAAAUGUCGGGGCUCAACCUGGGCAUUGCAGCGCGAACUGUGAGACU